GAUGAACGCUGGCGGCGUGCCUAAUACAUGCAAGUCGAGCGAACAGACGAGGAGCUUGCUCCUUUGACGUUAGCGGCGGACGGGUGAGUAACACGUAGGUAACCUACCUAUAAGACUGGGAUAACUUCGGGAAACCGGAGCUAAUACCGGAUAAUAUUUCGAACCGCAUGGUUCGAUAGUGAAAGAUGGCUUUGCUAUCACUUAUAGAUGGACCUGCGCCGUAUUAGCUAGUUGGUAAGGUAACGUCUUACCAAGGCAACGAUACGUAGCCGACCUGAGAGGGUGAUCGGCCACACUGGAACUGGGACACGGUCCAGACUCCUACGGGAGGCAGCAGUAGGGAAUCUUCCGCAAUGGGCGAGAGCCUGACGGAGCAACGCCGCGUGAGUGAUGAAGGUCUUCGGAUCGUAAAACUCUGUUAUUAGGGAAGAACAAACGUGUAAGUAACUGUGCACGUCUUGACGGUACCUAAUCAGAAAGCCACGGCUAACUACGUG
rnacentral:rRNA from 1 species